GAUGAACGCUGGCGGCGUGCCUAAUACAUGCAAGUCGAACGCACAGCGAAAGGUGCUUGCACCUUUCAAGUGAGUGGCGAACGGGUGCGUAACACGUGGACAACCUGCCUCAAGGCUGGGGAUAACAUUUGGAAACAGAUGCUAAUACCGAAUAAAACUCAGUGUCGCAUGACACAAAGUUAAAAGGCGCUUUGGCGUCACCUAGAUAUGGAUCCGCGGUGCAUUAGUUAGGUGGUGGGGUAAAGGCCUACCAAGACAAUGAUGCAUAGCCGAGUUGAGAGACUGAUCGGCCACAUUGGGACUGAGACACGGCCCAAACUCCUACGGGAGGCUGCGGUAGGGAAUCUUCCACAAUGGGCGAAAGCCUGAUGGAGCAACGCCGCGUGUGUGAUGAAGGCUUUCGGGUCGUAAAGCACUGUUGUAUGGGAAGAACAGCUAGAAUAGGGAAUGAUUUUAGUUUGACGGUACCAUACCAGAAAGGGACGGCUAAAUACGUGCCAGCCGCCGCCGUAA
rnacentral:rRNA from 1 species